UCAGCUAAAUGUCUGUCGUGGUCUGACUUUUUGACACAAUUUGACAUCAUGUAUUUCGGUUUUUACUUGAAAAAGAGGCAAAAUUUCUGUACCGGUGCCAAAGUCACAACGCCAUGGGCGUGAAUGAUGUUCAAAGGGAUAUGUAGAAUUAUGAAGCUGCAUUCUGGAUCACGUUUAGUACUGGCUGAGGAGCUUGAAGAAGUAGGAACAGGUAGCGGUGACUUGGAACCAUGGAGGAACAAACUAGGAACAGAGCCGGAUUUAAGUCUUUUAUUUGUAUAAUAACAACUUCUCUCAAAGUGUUUACCACAAAGGUAAAAGAUUCAUGUUGGGGUACCUACUUGUAGCAUUAAAAACCUUUUUGGACC